UACAGAGGUGGCAAGCGUUGUUCGGAAUUACUGGGCGUAAAGGGCGCGUAGGCGGCUUUUUAAGUCAGACGUGAAAUCCCCCGGCUUAACCUGGGAACUGCGUCUGAUACUGGGAAGCUUGAGUUCGGGAGAGGGAUGUAGAAUUCCAGGUGUAGCGGUGAAAUGCGUAGAUAUCUGGAGGAAGACCAGUGGCGAAGGCGGGUCUCUGGACAGUUCCUGACACUGAGGCACGAAGGCCAGGGGAGCAAACGGG
rnacentral:rRNA from 1 species